UGAGGAAUUUUCCGCAAUGGGCGAAAGCCUGACGGAGCAAUGCCGCGUGAAGGAAGACGCCUUUCGGGGUGUAAACUUCUUUUAUCAGGGAAGAAGCCAUGACGGUACCUGAUGAAUAAGCAUCGGCUAACUACGUGCCAGCAGCCGCGGUAAUACGUAGGAUGCAAGCGUUAUCCGGAAUCAUUGGGCGUAAAGCGUGUGUAGGCUUCUAUGCAAGUUUCUCGUUAAAGCCCGGGGCUCAACUCCGGAACCGUGAGAAAGACUGCAUGGAUGGAGGUGCAAAGAGGCAGAUGGAAUUCCUAGUGUAGCAGUGAAAUGCGUAGAUAUUAGGAAGAACACCAAUGGCGAAGGCAGUCUGCUGGUUGCAAUCUGACGCUGAGACACGAAAGCGUGGGGAGCGAACGGGAUUAGAUACCCCCGUAGUCC
rnacentral:rRNA from 1 species